CCAAUAGCGUAUAUUAAAGUUGUUGCAGUUAAAAAGCUCGUAGUUGAAUUUCGGGAUUAGUAAGUUGGUCGUGCCUCUGGUAUGUACUGGCUUUACUGAUUCCUCCUUCUUGAAAAACUGUCAUGUCAUUAAUUUGGUGUUGCAGGGAAACAGGACUGUUACUUUGAAAAAAUUAGAGUGUUUAAAGCAGGCUAACGCUUGAAUACAUUAGCAUGGAAUAAUGAAAUAGGACGUUUGAUCCUAUUUUGUUGGUUUCUAGGAUUGACGUAAUGAUUAAUAGGGAUAGUUGGGGGCAUUAGUAUUCAAUUGUCAGAGGUGAAAUUCUUGGAUUUAUUGAAGACUAACUACUGCAAAAGCAUUUGCCAAGGAUGUUUUCAUUAAUCAAGAACGAAAGUUAGGGGAUCGAAGACGAUCAGAUACCGUCGUAGUCUUAACCAUAAACUAUGCCGACUAGGGAUCGGAUGAUGUUAAUUUUUUAAUGACUCAUUCGGCGCCUUACG
rnacentral:rRNA from 1 species